GUGCUUUUUAAGAGCCAGACGUGUCAAUAUCGGGAUACAUGGAUUUGUAAUAUUGAACAGCUGCAGUCUCAGGAAAGCUUGGUGAAAAUCAAAUCUUUAAAAGGUGGCCGAUAGGUGAAGUCAUUCUGGACUAGAAUCAUUCAUCUGCUGGAACUCCUGAUCUUUCCACCAGGUGUGAGCUUGAAGGCGGUUCUCUGGGGAUAUUAAGCCUGAAUUUGAUGCAGCAGUGACGAUGGCUACUCUUCCUACCUGUUUUGCAAUUUAGACAAUGAGAUCUCCAAGAAGAAAGCUUUGUCUUUAAUCAUAUUUUUUUGCUUGAUUCUCUAAGCAUAACAACCAGCUUCUAAUAAAAACUCCAACUGCUUUUCAAAGCUUUUAUCUUUCUGGAUAACGUUUUCUAAAUUAAGCCUUUUCCUGAACAUGAAACAGGAAGAGUCCAGCCUGGAUUUUUGAUUUCUUCUUAAAUUAAAAUCUGUCUUAAAACCUAAAUAGUAUUUUCUGUAGUUAAAAAU
rnacentral:lncRNA from 1 species